rnacentral:rRNA from 1 species
ACACAUGCAAGUCGAACGGCAGCGCGGGGCAACCUGGCGGCGAGUGGCGAACGGGUGAGUAAUAUAUCGGAACGUACCCUAGAGUGGGGGAUAACGUAGCGAAAGUUACGCUAAUACCGCAUACGAUCUAAGGAUGAAAGUGGGGGAUUCGCAAGAACCUCAUGCUCGUGGAGCGGCCGAUAUCUGAUUAGCUAGUUGGUAGGGUAAAAGCCUACCAAGGCAUCGAUCAGUAGCUGGUCUGAGAGGACGACCAGCCACACUGGAACUGAGACACGGUCCAGACUCCUACGGGAGGCAGCAGUGGGGAAUUUUGGACAAUGGGCGAAAGCCUGAUCCAGCAAUGCCGCGUGAGUGAAGAAGGCCUUCGGGUAGUAAAGCUCUUUUGUCAGGGAAGAAACGGUGGUUUCUAAUACAGAUCACUAAUGACGGUACCUGAAGAAUAAGCACCGGCUAACUACGUGCCAGCAGCCGCGGUAAUACGUAGGGUGCAAGCGUUAAUCGGAAUUACUGGGCGUAAAGCGUGCGCAGGCGGUUUUGUAAGUCUGACGUGAAGUCCCCGGGCUCAACCUGGGAAUUGCGUUGGAGACUGCAAGGCUAGAGUUUGGCAGAGGGGGGUAGAAUUCCACGUGUAGCAGUGAAAUGCGUAGAUAUGUGGAGGAACACCGAUGGCGAAGGCAGCCCCCUGGGUCAAGACUGACGCUCAUGCACGAAAGCG